UUCUCUGGUCUCCUUCCAGGGGUCUCCACUGGACAGGCCCCAUCAGAACCAGAUGGGGAGGGUCAUUCCUGCAGGUCAGCCUUCUGAGGCUAGAGAGCAAGGUACAGAAGAUGGAGAGGAGGCCUGGUGGUGCAAACAGAAGACAUACCUACCCAUGUCAAAAGCAAAAUCUCUGAUUACUUUCUUAGGAUUCAAGUGUUUCAUGGCUUGAUAUGGCUAGUAGAGACUGUUCCAAUCUACCAGACUUCAAGGGGGGAAACAAUCUCUUUGGCCUUUGGUUCCCUGAGGAGGGAACAAAGCUAUAAAAUGUGGUUCUCCUUCCUGGAGAGGCUGGUAGAAAAGAAAGCAGAGUUGGGCAUGGAGGAGAUGCCAUACAGAGAACCAUCUCAGUCUGGUGACCCCCACCCAGGUGAUGCUGAAGGUAUUGAGAGGCAGACACCCAGAUAGAACAAUAGAGUGGACCUAUCUGGGGGACCAACAUCCUAAGAGCUGAGAGGCUGACAGCGUUCCGGGCUGAAGGCCCCAAGCAGAUUCUCAUCCAUGUAUGUAUUUGCUCUUAAACAGGUGAGUCUUAUUAAUACACAGGUGCUCUACAUUUACUCAUAAGUCAAGAAUAUGCUAAGUAGGCAGCUGUUACCUGACUACCAUUGAUUACAAAUGAAAAGAUGUCCUCACAGAGGAGCCAUGGGGGCAGGGUAAACUAAAUGUUUCUCAACAUUCCCAUACUGCCCUCUGCUCCCCUCCCAGUGCCUUCCAUGAAUGGACUCCAAACAGAA
rnacentral:lncRNA from 13 species